CCCCAUUCUAUUUUGUGUGUAGAAAGAACAGAUUUUUGUCUUUUUCAUUUUUCAGAUGCAAAAUGUAAUUGAAAAGACCUGUUCGUAGUCCACUAAAGAAAUGGUUUACAUCAAUUUGCCUAUUUCCUUGAAAGUCAAAUAGUUCCUCAAAUUCUAGGUUCUGCUGUUGUAGAAUAAUGCAGAUGUUUGUUUCCUAAAGUCUUAUAAAUAGAAACCCGUUCCUCAGAAAUGUACAGUCUAAGAGAAAAUGUUACAUAUUGUGGAAAUUGACCAAGUGUGACUCUUUGACAAUGUAGUAUCUAUUUAGAUUUGUUUCUACAAACCAAUGUACUUUGAAGUUAUCAAGAUCAGUUGAAACUGAUUGCUGUAAAGAGGGUGGUUUUUGUAUUGUUUGGCAUAUGCCCUUGUCACGCUGUGUAUAGCUACUUUGACUAUUGGGGGAAAGGAACAAUGGUCACAGUCUCAUCAGCAGCCACAGCCCCCCCUACUCUACUCACUCUUAUGAACUGUGGAACCCCUUCUAACGACAUCUACAGCAUCGGUUGUCUAGCUACCGGCUUUUCACCUUCCUCACUCACCUUCAAGUGGACAGACGCCAGCGGGAAAGCGCUGACGGACUUCGUCCAGUAUCCGGCAGUCCAGAGUGGGGGAGCCUACAUCGGAGUCAGUCAGGUCCGUGUGGCUAAGAACGUCUGGGAAAACUCAAAGUCUUUCAGUUGUUCUGUGGAACAUCUUGGAAGUGACCAGACAGCAGUCAUCAAUAAACCAGUCUCAAAGUCUCCAUCAGUGUCUUUGCUUUCGGGGCCCAUUGGCACCACCCAGUACCUGAUGUGUAUGAUUGAAGAUUUCACCCCCAAUAAAGUCACUGUCACCUGGAAGAAAAAUGACAAGGAGGUGGAGGGCCAGACCCCUACUGUAGGCCUACAGCCAUCAGGCCUCUACUCAGCCAGCAGUCUGCUGAAGGUCAACAAAACUGAAUGGAACAACAAGGUCAAUUACAGCUGUGUGGUGCAGCACCAGGGAAAACCCACCAUCAAGACAAUCUCCAAAACAGAACCACUGACGGUGACUCUGAACCCACCGAGUGUGAAAAAUGUGUUCAUGGACAACCAAGCAGUGCUGGACUGUGUCAUCAGUGGUACAGACCAGAACACAGUGGCUGGUACCACUAUCACCUGGCAGGUCAACGGAAAUAACGAGAUGAAAAACAUCGUUGAAUCAAAGGGCAACCUGAACAGCAGGGUCAGUACUCUGACCAUAGACCAGACAAGGUGGACCAAUGUCAACAAAGUCCAGUGUUCUGCCAUGAAGAGUGGCGAAGACACACCGGUCAUUCAGGACCUCAGCUUCACCAAAGGAAGUCGAGCCCCUUCAGUGUCCGUUCACCUUCUCCCGGAGGAAGACACCAAGAAGGAGGGGGAUGUGACUCUGGUGUGCCUGGUGGUCAGCCCGUCUCUCUGUGACGUCUACAUCAUGUGGAAGGAGGACAGCAGCGAGUACCAGGAUGGGGUCACCAGCCCUCCUCAGAAAACCCCGGAAGGCAACUACUCUGUCACCAGUGUCUUCACCGUCAAAACAAAUAAGUGGGAGGGAGACUCGGUUUUCACAUGUGCCGUCAAGCACGGCUUGGACAACAACACAGCACCUCAGGAGAGGAGUGUGUCAAAGUCCAUGGCGAACACCCUACUGACUGAGCCUGAGGCGGGCUUUGCUCUGAGCUGCACGGACAACGUUGAGGAUGAUUUCAGCAGCCUGUGGUCCACCACCUCCUCCUUUAUCGUCCUCUUUCUUCUCUCCCUCACCUACAGCACAGUACUCAGCCUGGUCAAGAUGAAGCAGUGAAGAACACAUGAUGGACUGCAGAGAUAGAUGUGUCUAAAUUAGAAAGAUGGUUAUGGCACAGUGUUCUUCAGUAAUAAUGUUAUGUAUAUAUCCAAUUCAUUAUUGAUUAUGAUUGAUUCGUUUUGUUGAUCUCAAUAUUAUGCAAGCAUUGUGGUGAUGUGUUAUUUUUCCUUCAUUGAUUUCUAUUGUACACUAUCAUUAAAUCUAAGUGUAUCCUC